rnacentral:rRNA from 1 species
UACAGAGGGUGCAAGCGUUAAUCGGAAUUACUGGGCGUAAAGCGUGCGCAGGCGGUUAUAUAAGACAGAUGUGAAAUCCCCGGGCUCAACCUGGGAACUGCAUUUGUGACUGUAUAGCUAGAGUACGGUAGAGGGGGAUGGAAUUCCGCGUGUAGCAGUGAAAUGCGUAGAUAUGCGGAGGAACACCGAUGGCGAAGGCAAUCCCCUGGACCUGUACUGACGCUCAUGCACGAAAGCGUGGGGAGCAAACAGG